GAUGAACGCUGGCGGUAGGCCUAACACAUGCAAGUCGAACGGCAGCACAGGAGAGCUUGCUCUCUGGGUGGCGAGUGGCGGACGGGUGAGGAAUACAUCGGAAUCUACUCUGUCGUGGGGGAUAACGUAGGGAAACUUACGCUAAUACCGCAUACGACCCACGGGUGAAAGCAGGGGACCUUCGGGCCUUGCGCGAUUGAAUGAGCCGAUGUCGGAUUAGCUAGUUGGCGGGGUAAAGGCCCACCAAGGCGACGAUCCGUAGCUGGUCUGAGAGGAUGAGCAGCCACACUGGAACUGAGACACGGUCCAGACUCCUACGGGAGGCAGCAGUGGGGAAUAUUGGACAAUGGGCGCAAGCCUGAUCCAGCCAUACCGCGUGGGUGAAGAAGGCCUUCGGGUUGUAAAGCCCUUUUGUUGGGAAAGAAAUCCAGCUGGCUAAUACCCGGUUGGGAUGACGGUACCCAAAGAAUAAGCACCGGCUAACUUCGUGCCAGCCGCCGCGGUAA
rnacentral:rRNA from 1 species